AUUGAAUGCUGGCGGCAUGCCUUACACAUGCAAGUCGAACGGCAGCACGGGUGCUUGCACCUGGUGGCGAGUGGCGAACGGGUGAGUAAUACAUCGGAACAUGUCCUGUAGUGGGGGAUAGCCCGGCGAAAGCCGGAUUAAUACCGCAUACGAUCUACGGAUGAAAGCGGGGGACCUUCGGGCCUCGCGCUAUAGGGUUGGCCGAUGGCUGAUUAGCUAGUUGGUGGGGUAAAGGCCUACCAAGGCGACGAUCAGUAGCUGGUCUGAGAGGACGACCAGCCACACUGGGACUGAGACACGGCCCAGACUCCUACGGGAGGCAGCAGUGGGGAAUUUUGGACAAUGGGCGAAAGCCUGAUCCAGCAAUGCCGCGUGUGUGAAGAAGGCCUUCGGGUUGUAAAGCACUUUUGUCCGGAAAGAAAUCCUUGGCCCUAAUACGGUCGGGGGAUGACGGUACCGGAAGAAUAAGCACCGGCUAACUACGUG
rnacentral:rRNA from 1 species